AUGGACUCUCACUCUUCUCACCUCAACGCAGCCAAUCGUUCUCGCAGCUCUCAGACUCCCUCUCCUUCCCACUCCGCCUCCGCCUCUUCAUCCCUCCACAAACGCAAACUCGCCGCGUCUGAGGAUCACGCUCCUCCCUCCACUUCCUUCCCUCCUUCCUCCAACGACGACCUCGAGAGCCUCUCCGCCGCGCGCGGAGCCGAUUCCGGCUCAGACCCCGACGAAUCAGAGUACGCCGUCCACGACGGCUACGAGGAAGACUUCGCUCCCGAACCGGAUCACGACUCUUCGAUCCGCACAUUCACCGCCGCGAGACUCGAUGUCAACGGUUCGAGUCGCAACGCUAAGAUUAAGACGGAGGAGAUCUCAACGGUGGAGCUUCAGGCUGGGACUGGGACAGCUGGCGCGAUUGCGCCGAAGGAUGAGGCUGCUAAGAUAUUGACCUGCGGGGCUUACAUUGCGAGAGAAGAGGCUUUGAGGAGAGAGGAAGAAGCUGGGCGGCUCAAAUUUGUCUGUUACUCUAAUGAUGGCGUUGAUGACCAUAUGAUGUGUUUGAUUGGUUUGAAGAACAUAUUUGCAAGACAGCUGCCUAAUAUGCCAAAGGAGUACAUUGUUCGCCUUCUCAUGGAUAGGAAACAUAAGUCUGUCAUGGUCCUAAGAAAAAAUGAGGUUGAAGGUGGCAUCCCUCUUGUUGUAGGUGGUAUCACGUAUCGUCCAUAUCACAGGCAGAGGUUUGGAGAAAUAGCUUUUUGUGCAAUCAGCGCAGAUGAACAAGUUAAAGGCUACGGUACCAGAUUGAUGAACCACUUGAAAGAACAUGCACGAGAUGUUGAUGGAUUGACGCAUUUUCUUACUUAUGCUGACAACAAUGCUGUUGGUUAUUUUCUCAAACAGAGUUUUACUAAAGAGAUUUACUUGGAGAAAGAUGUAUGGCAUGGGUACAUCAAAGACUAUGAUGGUGUCCUACUUAUGGAAUGCAGAAUUGAUCCAAAGCUUAAAUAUACAAAUUUGUCAAGCAUGAUUAGCAAGCAGAGAAAAGCAAUUGAUGAAAUGAUAAGAGAGUUAUCAAACUGUCAGAAUGUGUAUCAAGUUGCUGAAUUUCAAAAGAAAGAAGGUGGAAGUUCUAAAAAUAUCAGAGUUGAGGAUAUUCCUGGCUUAAGGGACGCAGGUUGGACCCCAGAUCAGUGGGGGCACACGCGUUACACAUUAUUCAGUGGUUCUGGAGAUAGUGUAACAAAGCAAAAGCAGUUGAAUGCACUUAUUCGCGGGCUUUUGAAGACAAUGCAAGACCAUUCUGAUGCUUGGCCUUUUAAAGAACCAGUUGAUCCUCUCGAUGUUCCUGAUUACUAUGAAUUUAUUAAAGAUCCCAUUGAUCUGAAGACAAUUGGGAAGAGAGUAGAGUCCGAGCAGUACUACAUGACACUUGACAUGUUUGUGGCUGAUACGAGAAGGAUGUUUAACAAUUGUAGAACUUACAACUCCCCAGAUACUGUGUACUACAGAUGUGCAACCAAGUUGCAAGCACAUUUCUUUAGCAAAGUACAAGCAGCUCUCCAGUCUGGUGCUAAAUCUCAAUAGAAGAUGGUGAAUUGAUAUUAUGCUAAGAUACUCUCGUCGGCACUGAAAUACUUAUUUCAAAAGCUAAAGUAUAUUUUAUUAUUUAUUAUGUUGACUUGAGCGUGGAUUAUGUAUGUGUAUAUGUAAUAUAUUUGCAAACGAACAUAUGUUUAGAAUAGUAAUAUGAUGGUGAAGUGAUAUUUUGCUAAGGUACUCUCGUCGGCACUGAACAAGUCUUAAGGUCAUUUCCAAUCUACUCGCAAAACUCUAUUUUAUUGUGA